rnacentral:tRNA from 2 species
ACCCGGGUGGUGGAACUGGUAGACACGCAGGACUUAAAAUCCUGUGGGCAGCAAUGCUCGUGUGGGUUCAACUCCCAUCCCGGGUA